rnacentral:rRNA from 1 species
UGGGGAAUAUUGGACAAUGGGGGGAACCCUGAUCCAGCCAUGCCGCGUGUGUGAAGAAGGCCUUAUGGUUGUAAAGCACUUUAAGCGAGGAGGAGGGUACUGGUAUUAAUACUACCAGCUACUGGACGUUACUCGCAGAAUAAGCACCGGCUAACUCUGUGCCAGCAGCCGCGGUAAUACAGAGGGUGCAAGCGUUAAUCGGAAUUACUGGGCGUAAAGCGCGCGUAGGUGGUUCGUUAAGUUGAAUGUGAAAGCCCCGGGCUCAACCUGGGAAAUGCAUCCAAAACAGGCGAGCUAGAGUAGGGCAGAGGGUGGUGGAAUUUCCUGUGUAGCGGUGAAAUGCGUAGAUAUAGGAAGGAACACCAGUGGCGAAGGCGACCACCUGGGCUCAUACUGACACUGAGGUGCGAAAGCGUGGGGAGCAAACAGG